rnacentral:rRNA from 1 species
UACGAGGGGUGCAAGCGUUGCUCGGAAUUAUUGGGCGUAAAGGGUAGGUAGGUGGUCUCAUUUGUCUGGGGUGAAAGCCUUGAGCUCAACUCAAGAAGUGCCUCGGAAACGGUGAGACUAGAGUCCUGGAGAGGGUCGUGGAAUUCCCGGUGUAGCGGUGAAAUGCGUAGAGAUCGGGAGGAACACCAGCGGCGAAGGCGGCGACCUGGACAGGUACUGACACUCAACUACGAAAGCGUGGGGAGCAAACAGG